rnacentral:RNase_P_RNA from 1 species
CUAGUAAGUCGGGUGGUUGCGGUACAUUUGUACUGAGGAAAGUCCGAACACCCACUCCUCAAAUUUGAGGUUUAAAAAGAUAGCGGGUAACGCCCGUCGGGAGCAAUCCUAGAGGUGCGAGCAGAGACGUGUCUGACCGAAAGGUUGGACUCCCCGGAAGAUUUUCGGGAUAGCCCUGCAGUAAUGCAGGGGUGAAACGGCUAAAUCCUUAUCGGGUGCAAGAACAAAUCAGAAGUUUGGGAGAAACGACUUGAACUUCUGUGAAAAGUAGUUCGCUUGACCCUGAGAGUAAUCAAAGGGCUAGACAGAUAACCACACACCGAACCUCAUGAAAGGAGGUGAAGGUUAAGAAGAGAAUGAAAAUUCUCUUUGACAAGACAGAAUUCGGCUUACAGGCUUACUAGGACA